rnacentral:rRNA from 1 species
CAGCACCUCAAGUGGUCAGGAUGAUUAUUGGGCCUAAAGCAUCCGUAGCCAGUUCUACAAGUCUUCCGUUAAAUCCACCUGCUUAACAGAUGGGCCGCGGAGGAUACUAUAAGACUAGGAGGCAGGAGAGGCAAGCGGUACUCAGUGGGUAGGGGUAAAAUCCGUUGAUCCAUUGAAGACCACCAGUGGCGAAGGCGGCUUGCCAGAAUGCGCUCGACGGUGAGGGAUGAAAGCUGGGGGAGCAAACCGGAUUAGAUACCCGAGUAGUC